CUUCCCACCUUAAGAGAAUUCUAUGUUAUAUCAGUUAGUCAUUUCUUAAUAACAAAAGCGCGGUCUUCAGUGAAAAAGAUUGAAUGAUGUAACGAUGCAAGAGUAACCAGUUUAUUUCAGAUUACAUUUUCACGAAAAGUAAGAUUUACGUCUAGUGAAUAUCGACUCCUAUGUCGAUUCAUUAUACUUAUGCUAUCUGUCAGUUUCUUAAGACUGAAUAGCGCUGAAGAAUCAUUUUGGCCGGAAAUGGAGAGCGUUUACUUCAGACACUCCGCUCUGUUAUGAUUACGUUGAGAGGUAACACCAAAAUCAGAGAAAAAAGACUCGCUGUCAGAAACUUCAUCCUCAGGCUGACGAGACUGGCACUGUUUCCCGCGUUAUGUUUCCGAUGGGGCUGUGGAAUAACUUUCUUAAAGUCGUCUUGCUAUCCAGCGUUCUUCUUCCCGGAGCAGAAACUCACUACAUGCUGAAUCGUAGAGAUGAGCAUUCAACUGAAAGUUGAUGGAAAUGUUGACUGGAGAGUUGUUGAACGAUGCAUUGGUGAAUAGUCCACCUAGAGCUGUUGCUGUUAGACCAUCGCUACCGUUAUUAAUUGUUGUGUUAUUGCCGACUACUGAUGGAAGUGCCAGAUUGUUCACAUUAAUUUUUCGCAAAGCUUAAGUGCGUGGACUGUCGCUGGCGUUGGCGGCUGUGAAGGUCGUAGUAGUACGACUAACAACUCUGCCAACUUGCUUGACAUCCCUCGUUGUUUUUCUAAAUGAUUAUGGCUGUAGGUGGAUAUUGAACAGGCG